rnacentral:rRNA from 1 species
AUUGAACGCUGGCGGCAGGCCUAACACAUGCAAGUCGAGCGAGAGGCGGACGGAUGAGUAAUGUAUGGGGAUCUGCACGAUAGAGGGGGAUAACUACUGGAAACGGUGGCUAAUACCGCAUACUAUCGGAUGAACCCAUAUGGGAUUAGCUAGUAGGGGGGGUAAAGGCUCACCUAGGCGACUAUCCCUAGCUGGUCUGCGAGGAUGACCGGCCACACUGGAACUGAGACACGGUCCAGACGCCUACGGUAGGCAGCAGUGGGGAAUAUUGCACAAUGGGCGCAAGCCUGAUGCAGCCAUGGCGCGUGUAUGAAGAAGGCCUUGGGGUUGUAAAGGACUUUCAGCGGGGAGGCGUUACCCGCAGAAGAGGCACCGGCUAACUCAGUGCCAGCAGCCGCGGUAAUUC